UAUCACUCGGGCUCGUGGAUCGAUGAAGAACGCAGCUAAUUGCGCGUUGCCAUGUGAACUGCAGGACACAUGAACAUUGACAAUUCGAACGCACAUUGCGGCCCUAGGACUUGUUCCUGGGCCACACCUGACUGAGGGUCGGUUGACCAAACUCAAAGACCAGACUGUUCUGAUUCGUCAGAGCGAGAUUGGAGUCUCCGCGCGCAAGCGUGGUACUCUUAAAAUCCUCAGGGCCGGCUAACCCCGACCCGUCAAAGAGAAAAUGCAUUCUGUCGUCGGUACGUCUUAUAAAGGAUGAUCAGAGAGCGCCUCCCGUGCGCUGACAGCCCUCAGACGUUCUGCCAAAAGCGGCGAGUGCGUGACGUUUCUUGUUUUUUUCCAAACUCGACGUCGCGUCGCCUCGUCUUGAAGACUUGAGGGUAUGCCUUAUAAAGAGCAACCGCGCAGAAAUUAUUGCAACAUCUCGCCUUUGCGUUUCGCCCCCGCGCGAUUCGCCUAUCACGACCUCAGUUCAGGUGAGAUUACCGGCUGAAUUUAAGCAUAUUACUAAGCCGAGGAAAAGAAACUAAC
rnacentral:sRNA from 1 species